GAUGAACGCUGGCGGCGUGCCUAAUACAUGCAAGUCGAGCGAACGGACGAGAAGCUUGCUUCUCUGAUGUUAGCGGCGGACGGGUGAGUAACACGUGGGUAACCUACCUAUAAGACUGGGAUAACUUCGGGAAACCGUAGCUAAUACCGGAUAAUAUUUUGAACCGCAUGGUUCAAAAGUGAAAGACGGUCUUGCUGUCACUUAUAGAUGGAUCCGCGCUGCAUUAGCUAGUUGGUAAGGUAACGGCUUACCAAGGCAACGAUGCAUAGCCGACCUGAGAGGGUGAUCGGCCACACUGGAACUGAGACACGGUCCAGACUCCUACGGGAGGCAGCAGUAGGGAAUCUUCCGCAAUGGGCGAAAGCCUGACGGAGCAACGCCGCGUGAGUGAUGAAGGUCUUCGGAUCGUAAAACUCUGUUAUUAGGGAAGAACAUAUGUGUAAGUAACUGUGCACAUCUUGACGGUACCUAAUCAGAAAGCCACGGCUAACUACGUG
rnacentral:rRNA from 1 species